UAAUUGAAAUAUAACUAUUCAAAUAUCUCUAAAUAACUCUUCUUUCAACAAAUGCAAAGUAAUGAUUUUAAACAUGCAUAUACACGUGUAUUUCUUUUGAAUGCAUGUACUAUAAGACGGAACUACAAACGAAGUGUGUCAGCGAAGUGUGUCAGCCAGUGAGUCAGUUUUUGUUUACAGUAUUUCCUGGCUUAAAACCAGGCCAUUUGCACUGGUGAAUUAAUUACUAAGUUCUAUAUAUACAUACAACUGAAUUCAACUGAAUACAUCCAUACAACGUAGAACGUGGUUUUUAAAAAAAAUCCACAGCAGUAAACCUGGUGUUGAACUGUAGUUUAUAUAUAAAUGUUUGAAAACUAUAAAUUCCAACGAACUUCUGGAAAACAUGUAGUAAGCUUCUGUACAAAGUGUGCGCUCAUGGUUUACAUAAACUUUAGUUCUUAUAUACGACCCGGCACACAAGGGUAACUGAGAGUAACUGAUGCUGGCACCCUGUUGGGGCCGGGCGGUAUGCAGUGGUACGUGCUGCUCUCCAUUGUUCUGGGCGUGAUCGCUUUAGCCUGCUGCCUUUACUGCUUAUGGUGCCUCAAACGACCAAAACCGCCGAAACCACAACCGCCGCCUCCACCAAUGACGCCCCUCGAUAUAUACAGACAAGUCUCGCGCCUGUCCGGCCACCCGGAAGACAAAGAACAGGUGGCGCCUCUCACGGGCCCGCCCUUAAAAAGACCUCAUAGACCACCGCCUUUGUUUAUACGACAGCAUUCAGCGCUUUCGGAAGGCGAGGUUGGACGGCCUAUUUCGCCUCUGGCUAUUUCGCCAAACGUUACUCACCAGUAUAAUAGGUCGCAUUCAACUAGCGAGUCUAAUCAGGACUCCGGUUACCGAAGUCGCGCCUUUACGUAUCCGUCAAGUUCACCUACGGUCGGUAGGAACCGGCCGCCCAGCUUCCAUAGACAAUUGUCGCGGACGUCGCAAAAAUCAGUGGAGAAACGCAAACCGGUGGAGAUGUCAUUUACACCGAUGGGUUUCUAGUUCAGGACCAUAUACGUAUGUUCCGAAGAAUAGCCUGAGACUUACUUGGCCGCCAGUGAUACGGCGGAGUAAGAAUUGUACGUCGAUUCUUACACGACUUUGAGUCUGGACGUUUUAUGAUGACGUUAAUGUGUUGUUGUCGCAUAGCGGACUCGAGACUCAAACGUUGAUUAUCCUGCCAGGAAAAUGACAUGGAACAACAGUUCGGGGAACUGAAGAAAAGGUGCACUGCUGUGGAAUUAAUCAUAUGUGUUCGGAUAUUCAUGUAGCAUUCCUGAGACUAACUUUCACCUGCACCAUUUGAUGGACAGUUAAGAGUCAUAAUCUACACGCUUCGCUGCAGCAUUUAAGUUCAGGGACUGUGGAACUGCGUCAGACAAAAUACAUUAACAAAUAUAGCUUUUGUUCAUAAUCAAGACAUAUAGUCUGAGGGCCUCUCCCAUCAUAUCACCGACGUGCUUAUACAUUUUCAUUUAUUUGCUUAUGAUACAUAAAUCAGUCUUUAGUAUUAUAGCUUACAUGGAAAAGCUUCAAGGUUACGGUCAUUGUGCGAUUCUUAUUUCAAUCAUUUUGCAUAUGUACUUUUUAAAAAUGCUUUCCGAUGAUAAAUGGAGUGUUGAAGGUAAUACUGCCGUCAAAUUGUACAUUUUUUUUUUCAUGAAAUAUGAGUGUGUACACAUAGAGGCCAUCUUAUCAGCGGACGUAAUUGCGUCGUUUAUUAUUGGUUGUGAUGAGAUGAUAAACUAUGGCCUGAGUAGAAAUGUAAGACUAUGUUAAACAAUUUAUUUUGAAAUUGAAAUCUGUUAUUCGAUUUCUGACACUCGCUUACAAUUUAACUUACGACUCGUUGUUAAAGGGACACAAUACAGGUUGAUGCCAAUAAAAAAUCUGAUCAAUAGAAAAAAACAUAUGAUUUUCAAAUUGAUAAAACAUAUUAGCUGUAGGCGCUUUUUGAACUGUGGAAUUGGUGGCCACAUAACUAUUAAUUGAAAAUCACGUUUAAAAUGGCUAAUAUUUUUCAUCUGUGCACAAAUUCUCAAAUGUUUUGUUUUGUUUCAAUCAUGUCAGUCAAAAAAUGAGUUAAACAUAGAAAUAAUUUAAAAUAAGAAAUAAAAUAAAAACGAAUGCAUCAACCUACUUUGUGCCCGUUUAAGAUAUCUGAACAUGGUAUAUUUGUUCUCUAUCUUCAAGUGAAUGAUGAAAACCACCAUAUUCAGUGUAAGAUGCCAAGGUCGAGAGAAGCAUUUUUGUAUUUUAUCUAGCAGUAUUUAAUCAAGUAUUUUAACUAGCAGUAUUUAAUCAAGUAUUUGCUCAACAUGUUUGCUUUAAAGCACAAGACAAUUUUGAAUGAUAAGCAAUGAUUUUUUUUUGUUUUAUCAAAAUGUUUUUUUCUUUCCUAAAAUUGCCAUUUAACUAAUUAAAUAUUUGUUAGACUUGUGACAAAAUUAAUCAGCCUGUCACAUCCUUACCUGUUGCCAUUUAAGUUUCACUGCUGCAAGAUAUUAUGUCUAAGUCAAUUUAUCAGUGUCAAUUUGUCAAGUAUUUAAUUUAAUUUUUAUUUUAAUAUAUUUUUGUAGGGUUGUAAAACAACACUUGUUUUCCUAUGCAGUAUGAAUAUCUGUAGUGCUAGUAAUUAGUUUUAUGGACUUUGUAAUGCAAUACAACAUUUUUAUUUGAGUGGUACUACGCAUUACAUUUUGUAUGAUUAAUAAUUUUAACUGUUUGAAUACAUGUCUUAAAUGAUAUCAUAUCAUACUUUUAAUGUUUGUUGUUUUUGCUUAUUGUACAAGCGCCCGUUGCUGUUAUGAGAGAGCUAGGUUUGGGAAAGCUACUUGUACGGGUAUGUGUACAUGUGUACAUGCGAAAGACUGUUUGACGCUAUACCAUUUUGUACAAUUGAUGAAUUUAUUAAGUUCUGAUAUCUAGGGCCCUUGUUGACAAACUGUUUUCAGUCUGACCUGAAACUAAAAAUCUCUUCUUACGUAUAUUUUACAAAAUCUGUGCAUAUCAGUGUAAUAUUCUAUAUUUUGAAAUAUUUCAACAAUUUUCAUCAUCCAUGCUCUGCUCUAAGUCCAUUAAAAAUUAUACUAAAGAUGUUCAAUAUUUGGUCUUGAGUCUGAACUCAGACAUGAGACCAUUAAUAAACACUGGCCCUGGGCCCUUGAUUAGAAGGAGUCUCAAGUCCGAGUCUAGACUCAUAAUCAGAAAAGCGAUGUGAUGAAGAAACAAAAAAAUUACUUUAUGCCAGCCCUUUUAAAAUCAUUAUCACUAUGUAAAUAAAGGUCACAGCUUCAAUUAGUAAAAAAAAUCAGCAAAGUUCACCAUCAGUGCUCAACUAGAGCGAAAGUUACAAUGAAAUGGAGACUCGCAAUUUUGAGUCUCGAAUCUGAACUCGAGACUGUUUGAAAUUAUGGGCCCUGCAGGGCAAUGAUUACAAACAGCCUUAAGUCUGAGUUCAGAAUCAAAUGACACAACUGUUUAAAAUCAGUUUAAAAUCUUUAUUUUAAUGUAACUUUUCUCUAGUUCAGUAUUUAUGAUAAACUUCACUGAAUUUUAAUUAUUUUUAUUUGAAAUUAAACAAUUGUAAACAUUUAUUUUGCUUAAGCAAAUGGAAUAAAGAGGAUUCUCUGAAAUUUAAUAAAGGGCUUUAAAACUUGGAAUUGAGACUGUUAGUAAACAUGGGCCAAGGACAUGUAAACAUUGUGAUUUAAACAUCAUACAACCAUGCAAGUAUGUGUUGGCUGUUCAAGGUGAAUAAUAAUCACAACAUUCGUGAGUUGACCUAGAAAAAGGGAGAUCUUGCAUACUUUGAAAGGCCAACUGCAUCUAGCUACACAUAAUAACAAGCUGUGCUUUACAUCUCUCAGCUGUUUAAAGAAUCAAUUGUUAUAUUUUCCCAGUUUAAUACUACUAUGUUAGUAACUAGAUGGAAAAAAUUAUAGCUUAAAGUAAAUUCCUUGAAGAUGAUUUUUUUGGCAUCUGCAACACUUUUUGUCCUUGAUUUGCACCAGCUAGUUCUGGAAAUGCUGAGAAAGAAUAUUUCAUAAACUUUGGAUGUGUUGAUCGACAUCUUGCAGACAUUUAACAUAAGUUAGAUUGUAAUGUAUUGUGUGAUUUUAUAGUCAGCCUUCUAAUGAUGGCCAAAUAUUGAGGGUUUUGUAUUCAGAUUUGUAUUCUUUAUUUUGACAUGGUUCUGUGAUGUAUGUGCUAUUUGCAGUUUUUAUUUUACAAACUGUAACUUUGUAAUGAUCAUUGUACACAUUUUAUCAAGGAAAGCAAUUAAAUGCAAGCUAUCAGAGUAGCAAUUAUGCAAAUUAAGUAGAUAGACAAGAAACGAUGUAUAAUGCUCAGCAUUUAUUCAAUACCUCCAUUGACAAUAGAAUACCAGUAUCAAUCACAAAACUCAACAAUAACACUUGAUUUCAUCAACAAUGAAUAAUUUACAAAAUGGCAAAAUGACUAAAAAUAGUUUGAAUUCAUUUAAGAAGAAAAUUACGUAGAAUUAAUCUAUGAUUUGCAAAUAUAACAAUAGUAUUAUUUUCAUGAUUAUUAUCAUACAAGAUACAUAAAUUGUCAUCAUAUACAAUAGAAACAUGUUGUACAGGAGAAAAUAUUCUAAUAAAUGUGACAAAAAAUAGCCAGCAAACCCCUGCAUGUUAAACAUGAACCCAAAACGUCUGAAGUACAAUAUUUUAAGAUAUUUUGAUAGUUUAAGACAAAAUCCCCCCCUCGCUCAACAAUAUUUCUUUACAAAGACCAACAAAAUCCCCCCUCCCUCAACAAUUUUUUGCCAAGACAGACAAAAUUCCCCUCCCUCAACAAUCUGUUUGUCAAGACAGACAAAAUCCCCAUCUCUCUAAAAUUUGCUUGCCAAGACAGAAAAAUACCCCCUCCCUCAACAAUCUGUUUGCCAUGACAGACAAAAUCCCACCUCCCUCCAUCAAUAAUUUGUUUGUAAAGACACUUUGUAUAGUUUAGAUGGUAAAUAAACUUGGGAAAUGUCAAGGUUAGUUGAAUAUCAUAUGAUGGUUUUGGCCAGCCUAUGCAAAAAUAACCACAAAAAGACCCCCUGCACAACUUAUAGGGCAUGCACGUCUAAAAAGACAAAUACAGUAUUUUCAAAUAAUAUAGAAUGCUAUAAAGACAUGUGUUAAAGACACUAUUAUUGUGUAUUAUUUUCUUCCAAGGUCAACGAUACCUGUACUACAGCAUAACUGCCAUUUACAGCACACUGGUAAACCAACAUAAUUAGUGUUAUGGUGUAUAAAUUUGUAAUUGAAUAUCAUAAUUAGAGAUUGAAGAAAUACACAAUAAUUUUUUGAAAAUAUUGCAUUAGUUUUUACAUUAUAAAUGAUGAAAUGUUUAAAAAUAUGUAUAAUAUAAAAAUGAAUAAAAAUAUAAAAAUGC